rnacentral:rRNA from 1 species
CUAACAAGGAUUCCCCUAGUAACUGCGAGUGAAGCGGGAAAAGCUCAAAUUUGAAAUCUGGCAGUCUAUUUUUUCUUCUUUGGCUGUCCGAGUUGUAAUCUAGAGAAGUGCUUACCUGCACUGGACCAUGUAUAAGUCUCCUGGAAUGGAGCGUCACAGAGGGUGAGAAUCCCGUCUUUGACAUGGACCGCCAGUGUGUUGUGGUGUGCUCUCAAAGAGUCGAGUUGUUUGGGAAUGCAGCUCUAAAUGGGUGGUAAACUCCAUCUAAAGCUAAAUAUUGGCGAGAGACCGAUAGCGAACAAGUACCGUGAGGGAAAGAUGAAAAGGACUUUGGAAAGAGAGUUAAACAGUAUGUGAAAUUGUUGAAAGGGAAACGCUUGAAGUCAGUUAUGUCGGCUAGGGAUCAACCUAGCUCUUUUGCUGGGUGAAUUUCCUAUUCUGACAGGCCAACAUCAGUUUUGACUGCUGGAAAAGAGCAGGGGGAAUGUGGCACCUUCGGGUGUGUUAUAGCCCUUUGUCAUAUGUGGCAGUCGGGACUGAGGGAUGCAGCGUGCCGUGAGGCUGGGUUUCGACCACGUUCACGCUUAGGAUGUUGGCUUUUAAUGGCUUCAAUCGACCCGUCUUGAAACACGGACCAAGGAGUCUAACAUGCCUGCGAGUGUUUGGGUGGAAAACCCUUGCGCGCAAUGAAAGUGAAAGUUGAAAUCCCUGUCAUGGGGAGCAUCGACGCCCGGACUUGAGCUUUUAAGCGACGGAAUCUGCGGGAAGAGCAUGCAUGUUGGGACCCGAAAGAUGGUGAACUAUGCCUGAAUAGGGCAAAGCCAGAGGAAACUCUGG